AGAGAGUCACCAAAAGGAUUGAGCAAGGGCGAGAGAGUAAAUAAGACCUAGGAUUUAGAAAAGAGCUAAGGGGUUCAUCUUGUAACCAAAAUUGUUCUCUUCGGACUAGUGAAAUUUGUAAGGUUGAUUACAAAUGGCAUUGGCACAAACUGCCGAAUCUCGUCAAAUUCUUGUAUUCUUGUUAAUUUUGUUUGUUUGUUUGUGUGGGGUGCUUGUUUAUCACUUUUGCCGAUUUGUUUGUGUGUGUUCAUCGUAGUCCGUAAAGAUAAUGCGAUCUUAUCACUUUUGUACAGCACAGAGAACCAUCUACAGUAUGAAAAUUAAAUGUAGAUGAGUUACAAUGAUAACAGCUUGUCAUAGGCAUGAUAAUCACUGAUUAGUAAUGAGAUGGAGUAGCAUAAAUGUAGUUAUAACAAAAAUCAAUUUGUUCCAUAGGUCAGCGGUAGAGCAUUUUAACUGUAGAUCAAGAGGUCGCCGGUUCAAACCAAUUAGGCCCUUUCCUUUGGUUUUUUUUUAAAAAUGAUAUAACUUAGAGAGAUAUUUUAUUUAAUUAUCUGUAACACCCCGAUCCCAAAUUUAACCCUUAUUUAAUUAUUUAAUUAUUUAAGGGCAUUUUGGUCAUAUUUUUAACCGGAGAGAGUUUGGGGCAGUGACUAGUAUUUUUGGAUAGGUCGUACUGAGACGAG
rnacentral:lncRNA from 1 species